rnacentral:lncRNA from 1 species
GGUUUUUAGCAGUAAGAGGUUAGAUAAAAUGGAUUUAAUCACAAUUUUUGCUAUUAGAAUUUUUCUUUUAAAAUUUUGAUUUUAUCAUAUCAUUGAAAGACAGUUAAAAUAUGCCAACAUAUAUUUUAAAGUGUCUGAGAAUUAAUCCAGGCAUGGUGGCAUGUGCCUAUAGUUCCAACACUCAGUAGGCUGAGGCUACAUUAGUCCAAAACCAGCCUGGACAACAUACAAAGACCCUGGAUCAACAAAGGAAAAAAAAAAAUGAAGUAUCUGAACAAUAGAUCAAAGUUGCUGGUCCAGGAACUUGUAAAUAUUUUGCACAAAUUUUUCCUAGAGUAAGUUUAUUAGGGACUGCUCAAGACCCUUGUUAAUAUUUAUGCACAGAACCAACAUAGAAUUAGUUUUUAUGAGGUUUGUGGUUCAGGUUUUAAAGGAAAUAAGAUAAGUACAAUAACUGCUUGAAACAGCAGAACAUUAUUACUAAAAGUAAAAAUAUCCUCAUUUUCAAAGCACUGACACACUCAGUUUUAGAUGUUGGAUAUAAAGUCAGUAAUUUAGCUCCGAUUCCUCUUAACACAAGGAUUAACAGACCAUAGUCUAAAUUGGUGAGCAAGCCAAAAUUGAAGUAUCUGAAGUUGACAAACAGAAUUUCUUGGAAAAGUAUAAUAUAGAAGUAGUGAGGGUGCAAAAGCCUCAAAAUUGAGCCUGAUUGCAGAUUUCACAAAAGCAUUGAAUUCUCACUGUCAGUGCUCUCUUACAUCUUGAUAAAUGUUGUAAGUUGUGAUCUAUUACAUAAUAAACAUACCCAACUCCUGAUUCGAAGGUAAUGAUCAUAACACCAAGCAAUAUGAUUAGCCCAGCAAAUCUGAAUAAAUAUCCUACUGGACUGACCUAGCUUCUGAAAGUACUCAUAGAAAAGUUAAAUUCAUCCAAGUUGUAAAAUUAACUAUAAAAUAUAUACAUGUUACUCUAAAGAUUUUUUCACUUAUGUAUUCUUUACAUGUUUAAAAAGUAUAGGAAAGAAAGGAUGUAAUUUAUUAUUCUAAAUCUCACAGAUUCAAAGAAAUACAGAAGCAAAAUAUAUGCAAAAGUACAUAUAUUGUUAGAAUUACAUGUGUACAGUUUGAUGAAUUUUCAUAAAUUCAAUAGACUUGUGUAACCUGUAUUCAGAUUAGCAAAAACAUUACAAAUACCCCAGAAGUACCCCUGAAUGCCUGCUUUCUUCCCCCUAUUCAAUAACCAUUAUUCUGACUUCGUACAGCAUACAUAACUUUUGACUAUUUUUCAACUUUAUAUAAAUGGGAUUAUGUGUCAUGUACUUAGUUUCUUUCAUUUAAAAUUAUGCUUGA